rnacentral:lncRNA from 1 species
AUGUUUUUAUGUGUUUUUGUGUUUUCUUAUUGGGUGUUUUUAGGUGUUGUUAUUGGAGAUGCUCUAGAUAUGGGUAAUCUUCUCAAAUUAGGGAUUAGGGAUUAGGGAUUUAGGGUAAUCAUCACAAAUCCGAUGUUUCAAUUGAAGUUUACAGCCUACAACCUACAGGUAACAAUCUUUAUUCUUACAAAAGACUCUUUUUCGUUUUGUGGAUAAUUCAUUAGUGAUUCAGUAUUUUGGUAUAAUACAUUCAAUAUUCAAAAAUAACAUGCAUUGAUUCUUUCAGUUUUGUAGUUCAGUUAGAGUAUAGAUGAAUUUCAACAUGGAAAUGCAGUUUGCUGCAUUGAUGGCUUGGAACCCAGUUCGAUAGACAAGAUGAUGCUAAGUGAAGAAACAAGAUUUAAAGGGACUUAGAAACACACUUAGAUUAAUCAAUUUUGUAUUAUGUGUUUGGGAACAAUGUUGUUCGUAUUUGAUUCUUG